rnacentral:rRNA from 1 species
GACAGAGGGUGCAAACGUUGUUCGGAAUUACUGGGCGUAAAGCGCGUGUAGGCGGCUUGGCAAGUCGGGUGUGAAAUCCCUCAGCUUAACUGAGGAAGUGCGCCCGAAACUGCUUUGCUUGAGUGCCGGAGAGGAUGGCGGAAUUCCCCAAGUAGAGGUGAAAUUCGUAGAUAUGGGGAGGAACACCGGUGGCGAAGGCGGCCAUCUGGACGGUAACUGACGCUGAGACGCGAAAGCGUGGGGAGCAACAGG